UCCUGGCUCAGGACGACGCUGGCGGCGUGCCUAACACAUGCAAGUCGAACGAGGUCCAUGCAGUGGCAACACUGCGGAAGACCUAGUGGCGAACGGGUGAGUAACACGUGAGGAACCUGCCCCGAAGACCGGGAUAACCCUCCGAAAGGAGAGCUAAUACCGGAUACCCCCACCUGGUCGCAUGGCCGGGUGAGGAAAUGGAUUCCGCUUCGGGAGGGCCUCGCGGCCUAUCAGCUAGUUGGUGAGGUAACGGCUCACCAAGGCAUCGACGGGUAGCUGGUCUGAGAGGACGAUCAGCCACACUGGGACUGAGACACGGCCCAGACUCCUACGGGAGGCAGCAGUGGGGAAUCUUGCGCAAUGGGCGAAAGCCUGACGCAGCAACGCCGCGUGGGGGAUGAA
rnacentral:rRNA from 1 species